rnacentral:rRNA from 1 species
CAAAAGCAUAUAUUAACAUUGUUGCAGUUAAAAGGCUCGUAGUCAAAUUUGUAACUUUUUGAUUAAGUUCAAGUGUCUAGUACACUUAGAGACUACAAUCAUAAGUUAUCCAACUAUUCUGCAUUUCUGCUCUUGAUUGAGUUGGUCAUGUAGCAUGGUACAUUUACUGUGAGUAAAUCAAAGUGUUCAAACCAAGCAUUUUGCUUUGAAUGCUCUAGCAUGGAAUAAUAAGAUACGACUUUAGUUUAAAUAUUGGCUUUUUAAACUUAAGUAAUGAUUGAUAGGGGUAGUUGGGGGUGCUAGUAUUUAACGGUCAGCGGUGAAAUGCAUAGACCCGUUAAAGACUAUCUUAUGCGAAAGCAUUCACCAAGGAUAUUUUCUUUGA